rnacentral:rRNA from 1 species
GAGCGGAUUAGUGGCGCACGGGUGAGUAAUGCAUAGGAACAUGCCCCUUAGUCUGGGAUAGCCAUUGGAAACGGUGAUUAAUACCGGAUAUUACCCUACGGGGGAAAGUUUUUCGCUAAGGGAUUGGCCUAUGUCCUAUCAGCUUGUUGGUGAGGUAAUGGCUCACCAAGGCUAUGACGGGUAUCCGGCCUGAGAGGGUGUACGGACACACUGGAACUGAGACACGGUCCAGACUCCUACGGGAGGCAGCAGUAGGGAAUAUUGCUCAAUGGGGGAAACCCUGAAGCAGCAACGCCGCGUGGAGGAUGAAGGUCCUGGGAUUGUAAACUCCUUUUCUAAGGGAAUAUUAUGACUGUACCUUAGGAAUAAGCACCGGCUAACUCCGUG